GAGAGAGAGAGAGAGAGGAGAGGGAGGAGAGGGUUGCUGGCAGUAUAUAAGGUGUUGGAUGCUGCCUCAGCCCACUCUAUCACCUUCGGCAGCAGGAGAUUAACAUGUUCCUGGGUGUGCGUGCCUUAGGCGUGGCGCUGGUGGUGGCGGCAAUGGUCUCCCCGGGAUGGUGAUGAGCCUUCCAGGGGGCAUGGGCGUGCGGGGCCUCCUCGGGGGCCGCCCAUGCACAAGGUGGACUUCUGCAUCCUCAUCUGUGACUCCUGCUACAAGGGCGAGUCUCUGCUGCUGUGCGCCAACGCCUGUAUCAAGCACGGGGGCACGAUGGGCUACGACUGGACCAACACGUGCCCCUACUUCUCCAACGCCAGGAAAUAAGUCAACAUCACCUACGUAACAUAAGCUGCUCCCUCCUCGCCUCCUCCAGGGUACUCGUAGAUACAACUUCAUCUCAUCCGUGCGCCCCUAUGUGACUCUCUCUCUCUCUCUCUCUCUCUCUCUCUCUCUCUCUCUCUCUCUCUCUCUCUCUCUCUCUCUCUCUCUCUCUCUCUCUCUCUCUCUCAGCGUCUCUUUUUUCCGUGAUAAUGAAUAAUAAAACGGACGAACAUU